rnacentral:rRNA from 1 species
CCCUUAGAUGUCCUGGGCCGCACGCGCGCUACACUGACACGAGCAGCGAGCUUCUUCCUGUUCCGAAAGGAUUGGGGAAUCUUGUAAAUCGUGUCGUGUCGGGGAUCGAUUAUUGUAAUUAUUAGUCGUGAACAAGGAAUUCCUAGUAAGCGCAAGUCACUAGCUUGCGCUGAUUACGUCCCUGCCCUUUGUACACACCGCCCGUCGCUACUACCGAUUGAAUGGUUUAGUGAGAUUUUUGGACUGGAACUCUCUUGUUCAGCAAUGAACGAGAGGGACUCUGGGAAGCUAUUCUAACUGUAUCAUUUAGAGGAAGUAAAAGUCGUAACA